UCACUCAUUCUCAAUCUUCAUUCAAAUAACAUGUCUGAUCAGUAGUAAGCAACAAAUGAUUACAGCCGUGACAGAUCAUACAUGGCCAGAGUUAGCUAUGGCAAAAAAAUAUGACACGCUAUGUCAAUUAUUGUCACAUAUCAGUAAGUAGCUAGAUUUUGCUACUCCAAAAAACUACACAAGCAAGACCUAUUUAGUUGCUGGCAUUUGGCUACACUCAUGAGCAGCGAUGAGAAAGUAAUUGCGCCUGUUGCAAUCUCAUUGAAGAAACCUCCAAACGCAUCUUGAUCUGCAGCAUGCGCAGGCUCGUCGGCAGAAAAAUUUGAGCUAGCAUUGUGCUCCUGAAAAUAACACAACAAUCAUGUGGUAGCAUCAAUAUAUACAAUGGUAGUAAUUAACAUCUCAUUAGAAAUCUAGUCAGUAUAUACCUUUAACUUAAAAACAACUCUACAGUUCAGAUGUUUGGAUGCAUUAGAGUAAUUAUGUGGUAGCAUCAAUACAUUCAAGCAUGCUUGUGCUAAACUUAUGUUCACAUGCAUUGGAGUAAUUAUGCUAAAGGGGCUGCAAUCUCUCAAGCUGUACACACAGUUAAUAUGACAUCCUAAAAAAGCUAAUAGUAUUUCUCUAUUGUGAGAACAACGCACAUGACAGUGUGUCGAUCAGUGUAUUGACAAACAAAACUCAAGAGUGCAGAUCUAGAAGAAGGCAUCAAAUUACAUGACAACUAGAUUCUAGUCUUUUUGGGGAGAAAAAGGAACAACCAGCAAAGCACAUAUGUCCAAUUAGCAAACCUGUCCAUGAGGGACAGAGGGAGUAUAAGCCUGCAUGUAUACCAUUGAGCCUACCGAAAGAACUCGACGCCAGAGUGCUAGACAAUCAACCAACUGUCAAUUUGUAGCUAAAAACAAGUGAAAGACAAUCAACCAACUCACAAUCAGCCAAUCUAGAGCACCAAUCAAAGAAAAAUUGGAAUUGUAUGCCAAUUGAGUUAUUUGAGACAGAUUUUCCUAAAAAGAUACAAAACUGGAGCUGAAACAUAAAAAUACCUUUUGUUUAGAUACAAAAUUUGGACAACAUAAUGACUAUGUUGGAGCAGCUAGCUGCUCCUCCUCUUCUUCUUCCUCCUCGAGCUGCCUCAAGCACCUGCAGCCUGUUUUUCUGCCGCGGCAGAAACAUUCCUGCUUUCUGUUUUCAUCCCAACCAUUGUACAUCCAGUCACGGAAUUGUUCAGAAGACAUGGAAUGCUUACUUGAUUGCUUUGUAGCACAGAAGAUCAGUUUGUUCUUUAUUCCUUCAAUCUGGCCAGCAAAAACUUGUAUUUCUCUUAAAAGAAUCGAUGUACAAAUUAAUUAGACAAAGCAAAAUAAUGCUAUAAUUAGUACUGCACUUGGUCGUAUCUAUAUUAUACAUACCUAUGAACAGCAAGCCUCAGAAACACCAAGCUUUCAGAACAUUUACUUCUGAACAGCAGGCUUCACACAAUUGCUCCUUCAAAAUACAUACAAGAACAUCAAUACAUUAUCAUUUUAAUUUUUUUUAUCAGUGCAAAACAAGGUUAAGAAUGCAUAAGCAUGUGCAGGGGCGGAUCUACGCCCAAGGCACUCUGGGCUGUAGUCCUGGUCGUGGUGAAAGUAGUAUAGGUAAUCAUCACAACAAAUCUCUGAAAUUUAGUAGUACCAACACCACAGCCCUGGGCUUUACUAUAGAUCGAUAAGAUGAUAAGGGUUAGACAGUUAGUAGUAGCACUAGCAGCCAGUCCAUCUAUUGUUUCUCCACGUGUUCAAGUACUGAAUAUACUUCCAUAUCAAAGUGUAAAUGGUGCAUUUAGAUACAAAUUAGUUAUAUACUUUGGCCAUUGAAAUUUAGCCCCCCUCAUGACAGCAUCCUCGCAUUGGCCAUUGAAAUUUAGCCCCCCAUUGAAAGUUAGAUACAAAUUAGUUAUAGAUACAAAUUAGUUAUAUACUUUGGCCAAAUCGUUGCUUCAGACAACCAAAUCAAUCGACUGAAAUCAUUACAAAGACACAUAGAACAUGACACAUAGCAAAUAAAAUUAGAAAUUAGAGAGGAAGAGACAGAGCGCUGGAGAAGAUUGAGAUGAGAGAGGACGAACCUGAAGGGGGAGGGUCAAGGGGCGGCCACCACAGGGAGCCACUACGGAUGGCAUGGACCCGCUGCUGCCCAGAUUCCUUGGAGAAUCCCUCCAGAAACGGUCACCGCGACUGCAUCCUCGCAGGAGGCACGCCCAUCUUGACAGCGAAGGAGGCAGUUCUCGGCGGCGCGAAUAUGGCAGGGAGGGGCGGAGACUGCGAGUAUGGCAGGGAGGGGGAGACGGAGAGGAGAAUCCCUCCAGAAACGGUCACCGAGACCGCAUCCUCACAGGUAGCACGCCCAUCUUGACAGCGGAGGCGGUAGUUCUCGGUGACGCGGAUAUGGCGGGGAGGGGUGGAGACUGCGAGUAUGGCACGGAGGGGCGGAGACAGAGGAGAAUAGCGGCGCUAGCGCUGGUACGACAUGCGGGGAAGGGCAGGGCUGGCGGGGGAGGG
rnacentral:lncRNA from 1 species